GAUGAACGCUAGCGGCAGGCUUAAUACAUGCAAGUCGUGGGGCAGCAGGACUGUAGCAAUACAGUUGCUGGCGACCGGCAAACGGGUGCGGAACACGUACGCAAUCUACCCAGAACUGGUGAAUAGCCCUCCGAAAGGAGGAUUAAUACACCGUAAUAUUAUAAAGUGGCAUCACUUAAUAAUUAAAGCUCCGGCGGUUUUGGAUGAGCGUGCGGCCCAUUAGGUAGUGGGUUGAGGUAAUGGCUCACCAAGCCUGCGAUGGGUAGCUGGUGUGAGAGCACGACCAGUCACACGGGCACUGAGACACGGGCCCGACUCCUACGGGAGGCAGCAGUAAGGAAUAUUGGUCAAUGGACGCAAGUCUGAACCAGCCAUGCCGCGUGGAGGAUGAAGGCCCUCUGGGUUGUAAACUUCUUUUAUGGGGGACGAAAUCACUUAUUCUUAAGUGUCUGACGGUACCCCAGGAAUAAGCACCGGCUAACUCCGUGCCAGCAGCCGCUGUAA
rnacentral:rRNA from 1 species